UGGCGAACGGGUGAGUAAUACAUCGGAACGUGUCCUGUAGUGGGGGAUAGCCCGGCGAAAGCCGGAUUAAUACCGCAUACGACCUAAGGGAGAAAGCGGGGGAUCUUCGGACCUCGCACUAUAGGGGCGGCCGAUGGCAGAUUAGCUAGUUGGUGGGGUAAAGGCCUACCAAGGCGACGAUCUGUAGCUGGUCUGAGAGGACGACCAGCCACACUGGGACUGAGACACGGCCCAGACUCCNACGGGAGGCAGCAGUGGGGAAUUUUGGACAAUGGGGGCAACCCUGAUCCAGCAAUGCCGCGUGUGUGAAGAAGGCCUUCGGGUUGUAAAGCACUUUUGUCCGGAAAGAAAAACUUCGUCCCUAAUUAUGGAUGGAGGAUGACGGUACCGGAAGAAUAAGCACCGGCUAACUACGUGCCAGCAGCCGCGGUAAUACGUAGGGUGCGAGCGUUAAUCGGAAUUACUGGGCGUAAAGCGUGCGCAGGCGGUUUGUUAAGACCGAUGUGAAAUCCCCGGGCUCAACCUGGGAACUGCAUUGGUGACUGGCAGGCUUUGAGUAUAGCAGAGGGGGGUAGAAUUCCACGUGUAGCAGUGAAAUGCGUAGAGAUGUGGAGGAAUACCGAUGGCGAAGGCAGCCCCCUGGGCCAAUACUGACGCUCAUGCACGAAAGCGUGGGGAGCAAACAGGAUUAGAUACCCUGGUAGUCCACGCCCUAAACGAUGUCAACUAGUUGUUGGGGAUUCAUUUCCUUAGUAACGUAGCUAACGCGUGAAGUUGACCGCCUGGGGAGUACGGUCGCAAGAUUAAAACUCAAAGGAAUUGACGGGGACCCGCACAAGCGGUGGAUGAUGUGGAUUAAUUCGAUGCAACGCGAAAAACCUUACCUACCCUUGACAUGGUCGGAACCCUGCUGAAAGGUGGGGGUGCUCGAAAGAGAACCGGCGCACAGGUGCUGCAUGGCUGUCGUCAGCUCGUGUCGUGAGAUGUUGGGUUAAGUCCCGCAACGAGCGCAACCCUUGUCCUUAGUUGCUACGCAAGAGCACUCUAAGGAGACUGCCGGUGACAAACCGGAGGAAGGUGGGGAUGACGUCAAGUCCUCAUGGCCCUUAUGGGUAGGGCUUCACA
rnacentral:rRNA from 1 species